rnacentral:rRNA from 1 species
UACGAGGGGUGCAAGCGUUGCUCGGAAUUAUUGGGCGUAAAGGGUAGGUAGGUGGUCUUGUUUGUCUGGGGUGAAAUCCUUGAGCUUAACUCAAGAAGUGCCUCGGAAACGGCAAGACUAGAGUCCUGGAGAGGGUCGUGGAAUUCCCGGUGUAGCGGUGAAAUGCGUAGAGAUCGGGAGGAACACCGGUGGCGAAGGCGGUUCUCUGGGCCUUACCUGACGCUGAGGAGCGAAAGCGUGGGGAGCGAACAGG